AAAAGGUGUUGGUUGGUCUAGACAGCAGGACGGUGGCCAUGGAAGUCGGAAGCCGCUAAGGAGUGUGUAACAACUCACCUGCCGAAUCAACCAGCCCUGAAAAUGGAUGGCGCUCGAGC